rnacentral:rRNA from 1 species
AUUGAACGCUGGCGGCAUGCCUUACACAUGCAAGUCGAACGGCAGCACGGGGCAACCUGGUGGCGAGUGGCGAACGGGUGAGUAAUGCAUCGGAACGUACCUUUCAGUGGGGGAUAACGUAGCGAAAGUUACGCUAAUACCGCAUAUUCUGUGAGCAGGAAAGCAGGGGACCGCAAGACCUUGCGCUGAUUGAGCGGCCGAUGUCAGAUUAGCUAGUUGGUGAGGUAAAGGCUCACCAAGGCGACGAUCUGUAGCGGGUCUGAGAGGAUGAUCCGCCACACUGGAACUGAGACACGGUCCAGACUCCCACGGGAGGCAGCAGUGGGGAAUUUUGGACAAUGGGGGCAACCCUGAUCCAGCCAUGCCGCGUGAGUGAAGAAGGCCUUCGGGUUGUAAAGCUCUUUCGGCCGGGAAGAAAUCGCACGGGCUAAUACCCUGUGUGGAUGACGGUACCGGAAUAAGAAGCACCGGCUAACUACGUGCCAGCCGCCGCCGUAAAAC